rnacentral:lncRNA from 1 species
CAUGUAAUUUUCUCCCCGAGUGUGUAAAUUGACGUUUACGCCCUUUUUGGCAAAAGUAGAACCUGACAUGGACGUAGUUUUUCGGCUUUUAAAAUAUCUUCUCGUUAUUGUAAUUAAAUAGUACUUAUUGUUACGAAUGCAUGAGCACAAGUUAGAGCCGACACGGACUUGUAACGAAAAAGUUACGUUUAAUUAAAAUGCGUUAAUAAUGGGUAAAUUUGUACACGUGUGCGUUAAUUUUUCAGUGUAGGAAACACUGUUUUUGAUAAGGGGACAUAUUUUGUGUAAUCUAAAAUUGUACAAAAUCUUAUCUUUUUCCCUUUUUUUAAAACAUGUCUGGUGCCCUUUUUCCCUCACCCAC